rnacentral:rRNA from 1 species
AUUGAACGCUGGCGGCAGGCCUAACACAUGCAAGUCGAGCGGAUGAAGGGAGCUUGCUCCUGGAUUCAGCGGCGGACGGGUGAGUAAUGCCUAGGAAUCUGCCUGGUAGUGGGGGAUAACGUCCGGAAACGGGCGCUAAUACCGCAUACGUCCUGAGGGAGAAAGUGGGGGAUCUUCGGACCUCACGCUAUCAGAUGAGCCUAGGUCGGAUUAGCUAGUUGGUGGGGUAAAGGCCUACCAAGGCGACGAUCCGUAACUGGUCUGAGAGGAUGAUCAGUCACCCUGGAACUGAGACACGGUCCAGACUCCUACGGGAGGCAGCAGUGGGGAAUAUUGGACAAUGGGCGAAAGCCUGAUCCAGCCAUGCCGCGUGUGUGAAGAAGGUCUUCGGAUUGUAAAGCACUUUAAGUUGGGAGGAAGGGCAGUAAGUUAAUACCUUGCUGUUUUGACGUUACCAACAGAAUCAGCACCGGCUAACUUCGUG